rnacentral:tRNA from 1 species
GCCGAGAUGGCGGAAUUGGUAGACGCAGUAGACUCAAAAUCUACCGGGGUGACCCGUGCGGGUUCGAGUCCCGCUCUCGGCACCA